UACGUAGGGUGCGAGCGUUGUCCGGAAUUACUGGGCGUAAAGGGCGCGUAGGCGGCCUGUGCAAGUCAGUUGUGAAAUCUCCGAGCUUAACUCGGAACGGUCAACUGAUACUGCUCGGCUAGAGUGCGGAAGGGGCAACUGGAAUUCUUGGUGUAGCGGUGAAAUGCGUAGAUAUCAAGAGGAACACCUGCGGCGAAGGCGGGUUGCUGGGCCGACACUGACGCUGAGGCGCGAAAGCUAGGGGAGCGAACGGG
rnacentral:rRNA from 1 species